GCGAGCGUAGCUCAGUUGGUAGAGCAUUCGACUGAUACUCGAAAGGUCCCAGGUUCGAUCCCUGGCGCUCGCACUA
rnacentral:tRNA from 2 species